CGCCUCGCGCCCCGCCGCCUCGCCCGUCCUCCUCUCCGUCCCUCUCCCUCACGUGUGUGUCAGCCGGCGACGCUCCAUCUCCUUCCCCACUCUUCCUUGCCGGUAGGAGGAAGAUGACGCGGGAGCAGCACCUUCUCCGCCGGCGACGCUCCAUCUCCGCCGCCGCGGGAGGAGCAGGUGUGUGCGCCGCGGGUGGAGGCGGCGCUGCCGGUGGUUUCGCGGGCGCGCAGGGUGGCGCCGCCGGUGGAAGCGCGAGCACGCGGGAGCAGCGCCGCCACGGCUACCGACGGAGGAUCACCGCUGUGUCGCGGGCGCGCGGGAGCGGCGCCGCCGGUAGAGGCGCGAGCACGAGGGAGCAGAACCGGCACUGCAGGUAGCAGAGAAGAUACGUGACUUGAAGUUGAUAUUUGGCAUGAUGGCAUCGACACUUGAGUGCCGAGCUUUCUAAUUAUCUUUGAGCAUGGAGGAAGACGAACUGACAAAUACAAGUGUGAGGCGCACACGUGAUGGUGCUCACUUGUGCAGUAUUGCAAUGGUCAGCGGCAACAUUCCAUGCCGCGUGCAGAUAAAAAAUCUCCAGCACCUAUCAGUUGGUUCCCUCGAGCCCCAGGUGUUGAGAUGCAUAGGUCGGCAAGUCUGUUGGCGUUAAAGGGGUAGGAGGUGUUGUUCAAGUAUGAUGUUGAACAUCAGCAUGCUCUGAGGCUGAUUGGUUCAUACCAUCAGCGCAUAAACCCGAUGGCUGGACUCUCCAGCAAUCCCAUGAGAUGGACAUGUGAGCUGCAUUUGACCGUUGAUUGUUGAUCUUUGUCAAAAACCCAAAACUGAUAACCCUAUAAUAGUUAAUUCAUAUGGUCAGAGGUGUUUUACUUGAACACAGAUUGAUAUAGGAGGUGAAGCAUUUGAACAUUGAAGUCUUCAGAGCAUAAACGCCUGAAAUUAUUGCUGAAGUAAAUCAGGAAGGUUAUCUUGCAGCUUCAUGUGCUAUUUUUUUAUCCUCUGAAAGUAUAUGCAGUAUUAUCAGUGGUGGUUGAGGAUUUGUCUAUACAAGCAAAUGUACCUGUCAGCAAUUGAAGAGGUACCACAGUCGGGUUUUUUUUGCGGCAAGGAAGGUUAUGUUGCAGCUUCAUGUGCUAUGUUUUUAUCCUCUGAAAGUAUAUGCAGUAUUAUCUGAGAUGCUAAUUUGCAUGGAGCGUGCCUCAGUUCUGCUGGCCUCCUCCGCUUAUUCUCUCCUAGCCAAUGGAGCAUAGCACGUAGCAGCGCAGAUCGUAAUGACGCAGGCGAG